rnacentral:rRNA from 1 species
GAUGAACGCUGGCGGCGUGCCUAAUACAUGCAAGUCGAGCGAAUGGAUUAAGAGCUUGCUCUUAUGAAGUUAGCGGCGGACGGGUGAGUAACACGUGGGUAACCUGCCCAUAAGACUGGGAUAACUCCGGGAAACCGGGGCUAAUACCGGCUAACAUUUUGAACCGCAUGGUUCGAAAUUGAAAGGAGGCCUCUGCUGGCACUUAUGGAUGGACCCGCGUCGCAUUAGCUAGUUGGUGAGGUAACGGCUCACCAAGGCAACGAUGCGUAGCCGACCUGAGAGGGUGAUCGGCCACACUGGGACUGAGACACGGCCCAGACUCCUACGGGAGGCAGCAGUAGGGAAUCUUCCGCAAUGGACGAAAGUCUGACGGAGCAACGCCGCGUGAGUGAUGAAGGCUUUCGGGUCGUAAAACUCUGUUGUUAGGGAAGAACAAGUGCUAGUUGAAUAAGCUGGCACCUUGACGGUACCUAACCAGAAAGCCACGGCUAACUACGUGCCAGCCGCCGCAGUAA